CUGCCCUCGGGAAGCAGCCUUGGCGGUGCCUCAGCCAUGGCCGGGACUCUUCUCCUCCUCAGCCUCCUCGCUUACUGCACAGGCUCUGUGGCCUCCUACCAGCUGACUCAGCCACGCUCGGUGUCAGUGUCCCCAGGACAGACGGCCAGGAUCACCUGUGGGGGAGACAGCAUUGGAAGUAAAAAUGUGCAGUGGUACCAGCAGAAGCCAGCGCAGGCCCCUGUGCUGGUCAUCUAUGCUGAUAGCGAACGGCCCUCAGGGAUCCCUGAGCGAUUCUCUGGCUCCAAAUCAGGGAACACGGCCACCCUGACCAUCAGCGGGGUCGAGGCCGGGGAUGAGGCUGACUAUUACUGUCAGGUGUGGGACAGUAGUAGUAAACAUCCCACAGUGACACAGGCAGAUGGGGAAGUGCUGCCUCUCAGUGCUCAGCCCCUACCGAACCAGGGAUCGAGCCUAGCCCUGAGCUUUAGCUCAGCACAGAAAGUGAUGGAGGGUGUGGGGCUCUGGAAAUGA